GUGGACUUCUCCUUGCCCUCCCUUGGUGGUAGUUGUGAGUUGAUAUAUCCCGGUUGAAUGUUCCCAUCUCUUCUCUCACCCUGCGUGUGCCAUCCUCCUUGGAUUUUGGACCAGUUGCUGCUCUGCAACCUCAGUUCUCCAGUGGGUUCAAAGAUAGUCAUGAGCUUGAAGAAGAUUAGUCCUGCAUUAACCUCUGCUGUCAAUCUUCUUCUUUUUGCUGAGGAAGACUGCCCUGAGCUAACAUCCGUGCCAUCUUCUUCUAUUUUCUAUGUGGGACACCUACCACAGCAUGGCUUGCCAAGUGGUGCCAUGUCCCCACCCGGGAUCCGAAGUGGUGAACCCUGGGCCGCUGAAGCAGAAUAACAUGCGUCUGUGAAGUUGCGGUAGAAGCUCCAUGUUUGAAGUGGUCUAACAAGGGCAUUUGACAGAAGCUUCAUAUUCCUUGUAGUGUAUUUACCAUACGGCCAGGAGGCUCCUGUGUGAAUCAAGCCCAAAACUAUAGGCAUCACAUAAUUCGCUUAUGCAGCCGUUUGCUUGCGUUAACAUUCUGUUGCUUUCACUAGCUGUGUGACCUUCAAUGUGUUACAGAGUCUUCUGUGCCUCUGUUGCCUCAUCUAGAAAUGAUUUUAUUAACAG
rnacentral:lncRNA from 1 species